rnacentral:sRNA from 1 species
GAUGCCAGGGUCAAAAGGUCAAAAAGCUGUUCAUGCUUGCAUGAUAAGGCUUUUGAACUUGGGACCCGCCAAACAUGAGAAAGUAGCGAUUUACGUAGUAAAUCAGCGGAUUUCGAAUGUUUGAAGAAUUGCAGGAGCUGCUUCGCAGCGAAGCAAUUCGCAGGCAUC